AAGACCAGCCCCUAGACCAGCCCCAGCAAGACCAGCCCCUAAACCAGCCCCAGCAAGACCAGCCCCUAGACCAGCCCCAGCAAGACCAGCCCCAGCAAGACCAGCCCCUAGACCAGCUAAUCCCACAAGACCACCAACUGAUUACACUUGAACUAUGUCCAAUCGUCUCUCAGGCUCAGCAGCAUGUGGAGCCUCUACCACCAAGGAAAAGACAAACCCCACCAUCCAGCCCAGGCCAAGACAGACAAGCCCCACCAUCCAUCCAACCUCAACUAAAGAAAAGACAAACCACAGGUACAGAAGCCACACAAGCCCCACCCUCGACCCUGGCCAAAAAGAAGAAAACAAAAAG